GAAUUCACAGUGUAGCGGUGGAAUGCGUAGAUAUUGUGAAGAAUACCAAUGGCGAAGGCAGCUUCCUGGUUCUGUACUGACACUGAGGUGCGAAAGCGUGGGUAGCGAACAGGAUUAGAUACCCUGGUAGUCCACGCCGUAAACGAUGACAACUAGCUGUUGGGAGACAAGAUCUCUCAGUGGCGCAGCUAACGCUUUAAGUUGUCCGCCUGGGGAGUACGGCCGCAAGGUUAAAACUCAAAUGAAUUGACGGGGACCCGCACAAGCGGUGGAGCAUGUGGUUUAAUUCGAUGCAACGCGAAAAACCUUACCUACUCUUGACAUACUUGGAAGCUCUUGUAAUGAGAGUGUGCUUUUAGAGCCAAGAUACAGGUGCUGCAUGGCUGUCGUCAGCUCGUGUCGUGAGAUGUUGGGUUAAGUCCCAUAACGAGCGCAACCCUUACCCUUAUUUGCCAGCGGUUAGGCCGGGAACUAUAAGGGGACUGCCGGUGACAAACCGGAGGAAGGUGAGGACGACGUCAAGUCAUCAUGGCCCUUACGAGUAGGGCUACACACGUGCUACAAUGGGGAAUACAGACGGACGCUAAAGCGUGAGCUGGUGCCAAUCCUAAAAAAUUUCUCGUAGUCCGGAUUGCAGUCUGCAACUCGACUGCAUGAAGUCGGAAUCGCUAGUAAUCGCGAAUCAGCAUGUCGCGGUGAAUACGUUCUCGGGUCUUGUACACACCGCCCGUCACACCAUGGAAGUGUGUUGCACCAGAAGUAGGUAGUCUAACCUUCGGGAAGGCGCUUACCACGGUGUGAUCCAUGACUGGGGUGAAGUCAUAACAAGGUAGCCGUA
rnacentral:rRNA from 1 species